rfam:Nicotiana attenuata strain TT chromosome 3, whole genome shotgun sequence.
ACGACCUUACUUGAACAGGAUCUGUUCUAUAGGCUCGUACCACUGCAUCCUUGAGUUCUAAGGAGACAGAAAACCAAGUCUGGUUGAUGAAGUGUAGCCAUGAGACCAGAGCGUGAUUGACAGCUUUGGUGGCCCUUGGGCUUCUGCGCAGUAGAGGAUCGUUCUCAGGCCUCUCGUAGGUCUGGGGUGGUCUCUUGGCUCUCUGACAGACU